AGUGAACGCUGGCGGUAGGCCUGACACAUGCAAGUCGAACGGCAGCACAGUAAGAGCUUGCUCUUACGGGUGCCGAGUGGCGGACGGUUGAUGAAUACAUCGGAAUCUACUUUUUCGAGGGGGCUAACGUAGGGACACUUACGCUAAUCCCGCAUACGACCUACGGGUGAAAGCAGGGGAUCUUCGGACAUUGCGUGAUUGAAUGAGCCGAUGUCGGAUUAGCUAGUUGGCGGGGUAAAGGCCCACCAAGGCGACGAUCCGUAGCUGGUCUGAGAGGAUGAUCAGCCACACUGGAACUGAGACACGGUCCAGACUCCUACGGGAGGCAGCAGUGGGGAAUAUUGGACAAUGGGCGCAAGCCUGAUCCAGCCAUACCGCGUGGGUGAAGAAGGCCUUCGGGUUGUAAAGCCCUUUUGGUGGGAAAGAAAAGCAGCAGGUUAAUACCCCGCUGUUCUGACGGUACCCAAAGAAUAAGCACCGGCUAACUUCGUG
rnacentral:rRNA from 1 species